AACGAACGCUGGCGGCAUGCUUAACACAUGCAAGUCGAACGCCCCGCCUGGGGCUUGGCAGACGGGUUAGUAACGCGUGGGAACAUACCCUUUUCUACGGCAUAGCUCUGGGAAACUGGAAUUAAUACCGUAUACGCCCUACUGGUGAAAGAUUUAUCGGUGAAGGAUUGGGCCUCGUUGGAUUAGCUUGUUGGUGGGGUAAAGGCAUACCAAGGCGACGAUCCAUAGCUGGGCUGAGAGGAUGAUCAGCCACAUUGUGACUGAGACACGGCCCAAACUCCGACGGGAGGGAGGGGUGGGGAAUAUAGGGGAAGGGGGGCAAGCCUGAUGAAGCCAUGCCGGGGGAGAGAGGAAGGGGGUAGGGUUGUAAAGCUAUUACAGCGAUGAAGAAAAUGACGGUAGUCGGAGAAGAAGCCCCGGCUAACUUCGUG
rnacentral:rRNA from 1 species